UUCGGUAAGUUGCUUGAGAAGGUGAAACUUGAAAGUGCUAGAAGGAAAGAAGCUACUAAACUGUCACAGCCCGUCCCGAGGAUAAAUUGUCGUGGUUGUGAAAAGACGGAUUUACCCUUGAGCGUUGGAUGUGUGCUGUGUUUUGGACUAAGAAAUUAGGUCAAUUGGUUCUAUUACUAACUAAUUGGACCCAAUUAGAAUUAAAAGAUUAAAGAAUUGUGAUUGGUGUGCAUGUUUGGACCACACACAUCCAUACUUUUCUCUCUCACUCCCCCGUGUUCUCUCUCUUCUCUUUCUCAGUUUCACUCUCUAUCUCUCUCGGCAUUGUGUACGGACAACACCAAAACCUUUGCAAAUGCGACGGAUCGAAGUGGAAAAUGGCACCAUUGUGUUCGUGAAGCUCAGACGAACACAUCUAUACAGGUAAGGACAACUUCGCUUUCACAUGAAAACCCUAAACCCGAAUGAGGUACUGUUCAUGCAAAAACUUAUGGCUUGUUUUUAUGGAAUUUGAAGCUUAUAGGAAGCUUUGUGAGGUCCCUAGGAGGCUAGGGAUAGUUUGUUUGAGGAUUUUGGAUGUCGGAAAGUGGAGAUCGGCACAUUUUAAAUUUGGUCGGAAAGUCGAGGUAAUUUUUGACUUGUUUUCGUGAAUUUCAAGAACCCAAAUUGUUAUAUCGUGUUUCUACUUGUCCUUAUCUUCAUUUUGGUACCAGUUUUAUGAAAAUUGGUUAAGAAACAAGUGAGAAUAGUGGAUUUAAAGUUUUACCCAAUUUUCCGACGACCGGCGACUCGUCGGAGAAGAUGACGGCAUAUUUCGUCAGUUUGGACGGAAUAUGCUGACGUCGUCAGUCAAAUGUAACAGAAUCUGCUAGGUUUAACGUUAUAUUCCCUAACGGUGGUUAGG
rnacentral:lncRNA from 1 species